rnacentral:ribozyme from 1 species
CGAAAACGGAAAUGAAGCAACGGGAGAGAAAGGAAAAAAGAAAGCUUAAAAAUGGGCACACAAUUCAGAAAAACGGGGAUAAAGUUUACAGAUCGUACCAAUGGAAUGUCAGAC